rnacentral:lncRNA from 1 species
GAAAAUGAGUCCCUUACAGGGACAAAAGGAAGUAUUUUGAGUGCUCAAAUCCUGUUCCAAUUUGUGUCCCUCUGAAGCCUGAGGAACUACCCUGCCCCUCGGUGGCAUGCAGUUCAGAUUUGCUGGACUUAGGACCACAUUUGUGGUUUACAAUGGCUGCUUAGUGCUGCUCCACACUUGCCUUUAUAUCCCUCUGAAGAAGGACUCAUUAAGCUACUAUACAGGGCAUUUGAGUUGGUGACCCUGGGCAUGAUUGUGAUAUACCUGGAACCUGGCUCUCUGAAGAAAAAAAAGUCCUGAUUUGUAGAGUUUGCCAAAUUCCAUGUGUCACUGAUUCGUGUUUAUGGAGCACCUACCAUGUACAAAACUCUUCCAGAAUCUACGGGAAGCCAAAUGACUCUGCUGGCCCGCACCACACUUACAGACUGCUAAGAGAACUAAGAGGAGGAUGGAGGGACAGAAUCUUCUGGAAGGGACUCUGGGAAAGCUUCAUAAAAGAGCGUUCACUGGAGAUGAGCCUUGAAGAGAUUAGGAUCUGAGCGGGGCCCAGCCCAAGCCCUGGGGGGAAGCACAUGGCCCAGGCCCGCAUCAACGAACAUGUGGCACUCCCCCUCCCCCAGUGACUGACUUACAGCAGGCCACGUGAUACAAGAAGACAAUCAGCUUGAACUUUGGGACUUCUGCAGAGAAAACUAGGACAGAGAACUUUCAUAUUUUCCCAUGGCACAUUAUCCUGAAAGGAUUUAGCCCUGGAACCUUCUGAUGGCCUUCUUGAAGGAAAAGAGAGUCUUAGAACGGAAGUAAUAUAAAGGAAGAGGACCUAAGAGAUGGAGACAGUGAAACCAGAUCCGGAGAACACUGACAAAGCCAGAUGUCCUCCUGGACACCUGUUACACACGCUAACAAAUCUCCC